GACGAACGCUGGCGGCGUGCUUAACACAUGCAAGUCGAACGGAAAGGCCCUGCUUUUGUGGGGUGCUCGAGUGGCGAACGGGUGAGUGACACGUGAGUAACCUGCCCUUGACUUUGGGAUAACUUCAGGCAACUGGGGCUAAUACCGGAUAGGAGCUCCUGCUGCAUGGUGGGGGUUGGAAAGUUUCGGCGGUUGGGGAUGGACUCGCGGCUUAUCAGCUUGUUGGUGGGGUAGUGGCUUACCAAGGCUUUGACGGGUAGCCGGCCUGAGAGGGUGACCGGCCACAUUGGGACUGCGAUACGGCCCAGACUCCUACGGGAGGCAGCAGUGGGGAAUAUGGCACAAUGGGCGGAAGCCUGAUGCAGCAACGCCGCGUGCGGGAUGACGGCCUUCGGGUUGUAAACCGCUUUCGCCUGUGACGAAGCGUGAGUGACGGUAAUGGGUAAAGAAGCACCGGCUAACUACGCG
rnacentral:rRNA from 1 species